UAAAAUAUUUGUUUAAAUUUAAGUAUGUACUUGUGAUAUAAGAAGUUGAAGUUGUGUUUUUGUGUAGUUUUAAAUGAACAUUUUUGUGUAGUCAUAAUAAUUUUAAAGACUACCGAUGUACUUAUGAAUUAAUUGAACGUACAAAAUGUGCUAGGAUAUUUACCACGAAAUAAAAUAUUUAAUGAUUUUGAAUUGCUUAAAUGAGGGAACCCUCCGCUACUGGGUACUACAUAAAACGUUAAUUUAAAACUAAAAUAAUCAACAUCACCACAAUCACAUAAAACUAGAUAUUCUAUACCAAAAAAUAAUCCUAUGGAUUUAAGUGAAUAAUGUUAAUACAACUUGAAAAUAUUGGCUGAAUUAAUUAAUGCAGUGAUGCUUUCGCUUUGCUAGAAAUUUAGUGAUUUUGAGCCAUACAAAAAGGAAUAAUCCAAAUUCAGCGAAGCAAAUAUGAAUUCAACCUAUCUUUUCUUUUUUUUUUUACCGAAGAUUGUCAUGAUCUCGAAUAAGAAAACAAUUCCUUCAGUUUACAACUUCACCUUUAGGCUCCAAAUUUAGGUUUCGGCGGGUUGCGUUUAGUUUCGUUGCAUUUGUCGGCUCCUGGAGCGUAUACUAUCGCCUUUUGGAACUAAUUUCGCAGGGAUUCUUUAAAUUACAUGAUUGAGCUCUUUGUGAUUGCAGAAAUCUAGUCAGAUUUUUUUUUUUAAACUACACUUUUACAGUUACAUAAAGAAUAGGGUUCAAAUGGAGGUUGAUGGUAGCAUAAUUGGAGUAGUUUUUUGCGUGAGACAUCAUUGCCUGUGGUGAAUUUAAAGUUUUCAUUUAAAUUUGGUGCAUGCAAAUGGCAGAGUUAAGGCCAAAGGGAUUACCUCCGUUAUCUUAGGAUUUUUUUUAUUUUUGCUAUUUUUUUUUUAAACAUUAUUGGUUUAUAACAACAAAAACCUAUCCGAUACCUUUUCCAGUUUCGGGACUUCAGAAUUUAACAUCUAAUUGAUGCAACUCAAGCUUCUGUUUUUUUUCCCUUCAUGACAAGAAUGUAUCGUCUUAGUAAAAAAAAUGUGGGAGGUAUUGUAAAGUUAACUUUUACUUACAGAAGCAACGCUCAAAAACUGAAAAAUGAUUUUCAAAAACAACUUAUAAAAGAUACAAAAUUCGUAAGUUGAAACUUAUCAUUUUGGAGGUUUCAGAGCUAUUUUAAGCGCUCCUGUUUUUUCAGACAUUUCUAGAACUUUAUAUUUGAGCCGUUUAGAAUAAUGAUUUAAGUUUAUUUUUGCUUUUAUCCACAAUUUUUAGUUUAAAGAACUAAGCGCUUAAUAAUUUUCAACUCAAAGUGCAAAAAGAUUUAUUCCCUAAACUAAAUGAUUUUGUUAGUCGGAUUGACAUUGAAAACAUUCAAAAUACAUAUCUUUCUUUUGUAUUGUUGUUCUAUUUCUAUGUUAAACAACAGCUGAAAAAAAAAAUACCUACUACCUACUUGGUUAGAAACCGAUAUCAAUCUAUCAAAAAAAAUUUAAGUGCUCAACUCCUUUACCAAAUAAUAUGAAUAAAAGCUGGCUGAGGUUUAUGUUUUUAUAUGGUUUUUGACCGACUUUCACAAACAUAUCGGAUAAUAAGGCCGAAUUCAUAAAUGAAGUACUGAUUUCCUGCUGAUGCCUCACAGGUAAAAAAAAGUGUUUUCGAGUAAUGCAAAUUAGUUCUGCUUCUAAAAAUUCAUCGUAACCCUUGAUAUAUUUUCCUAUACACAGUUGACCGUAUCCAUUGACCGCUCAGAAUUUUUUUUUUUUCCUACACAAACAUCACCGUAUCCAUUGACCUCA